rnacentral:rRNA from 1 species
GAUGAACGCUGGCGGCGUGCCUAAUACAUGCAAGUCGAGCGAACAGACGAGGAGCUUGCUCCUCUGACGUUAGCGGCGGACGGGUGAGUAACACGUGGAUAACCUACCUAUAAGACUGGGAUAACUUCGGGAAACCGGAGCUAAUACCGGAUAAUAUAUUGAACCGCAUGGUUCAAUAGUGAAAGACGGUUUUGCUGUCACUUAUAGAUGGAUCCGCGCCGCAUUAGCUAGUUGGUAAGGUAACGGCUUACCAAGGCGACGAUGCGUAGCCGACCUGAGAGGGGGAUCGGCCACACUGGAACUGAGACACGGUCCAGACUCCUACGGGAGGGAGCAGUAGGGAAUCUUCGGCAGUGGGGGAGAGCCUGACGGAGCAACGCCACGUGAGUGAUGAAGGUCUUGGGAGCGUAAAACUCUGUUAUGAGGGGAGAACAAAUGUGUAAGUAACUAUGCACUGCUUGACGGUACCUAAUCAGAAAGCCACGGCUAACUACGUG